CCUUGGUCUUGAACUGGGCUUUCUGGUACAGUGCCGCUGAGGAGGGUCUGGGUGGGGUUUUAACUAAUGUGCACAAGUAAGUCGGGAAAUGGUUAUCAUAGCAGCAGAGUAGAAGUGAGGCUUGAGGCAGUUGAUGUAGGUAAAAGCCAAGCUCGUGGAGGUAGACCCUGUAAGGAACAAAGCUCCUAUCUACCAAUCAGGCUAGCUUAGUAACUGUAGACAGUCCAGUCAGGGGUCCCAGGAGGUGAACUGGGGGACAUAGCAAGCCAGUGUGGGAUUCUGUUCCUCUGCUUAUAAGCACCCGGCUUCGUUCACGGUGUUUGCCCAGGAUGGUGCAUGGGGCAGGGCAGCCUGACCAGGGUCUUCAGGAGAGAGGCUGAUAAUCUCGUCAGCAGCCACCUCCCAGUCCCAGCUGCAGGGCUGGGCUUCCUGAAAACUGUGAGUCUGGAGCAAGACAGCUGACCCCUGCCUGUGUGUUUACAGUUUUCACAGGGCUCUGGGGACAGCUGUGGCCUCCCCACCCCUGUGGCUUCAUGGUGUGAUGUGGGCCCCUACUGGAGUUGCUGGGAUUUAGGAACAACGUCAGCUGUUCAAGAGCUACAGUCUCCCUGUGGCUUUCAGCAAAUAGGGGGAGUUAGUUCAUAGCUCCUGUAAACAGUUGUUUUCUCGGUGACUGCCCAGCUCCAGUUAAAUAUUAACAAAGAAUGGCCCCCGUGGCCGCUCUUGGGGGUAUCUGUUUUAAAUAUUUAAGUAAUCGCUCUUCCCCAUCCCUAAAUGACAUUUGGCUCAAAUUUGCUAUAACUGAUGUUGCUUCUCUGGUUAUUAAAUUGUGGGAAAUGCCCAACUCCCUCCCUUCCGCUCUUCUCCCUCCCUCUGUAAACAGCUGCCUCAUUCACCUCCAGUCAGAACACGAUGGGGUCCAGAGUAUCCUGCAAGGCUCAAGUGUGACCUCCUGGGAAGCAGGUGGCUAUUGAGCUUGGCAAUCUAGCCCAAGGAUGGGCAGAGGGGCUCACCCUGGAGCGCCAGGAACAGCAGCUGUGCUGUGCUGAGUUGGCUCUGUCUCCAUCUGGGCAUUUGGUGGUAACCACAGGCUUCCAGAUGCUUCUACCUGGGCCCAGUCGUGGAGACUUCCCCUGACCUUAGAUUUGCAUUAUUAGGGAUCCUCACACAGGCAGGUUAGUUUCUCCUUCCCAGGUAAGGCAUGGGAUGGCAGUGCCACUGAAGCCUUUUCUGAAGAGCUAGGCUAUCUCUCUCGCUUUUCCUUUCUACUUCAUGGCAGGAGGACGGGUAGAAAGCUGAGGGGUGACUUUCUCCUGCUUGGGCCAAAGAAGUCUAGCCCUAGUUUAUGGACUCCCAAGACAACCUUGCAACUCUGAAGAGCUAGUGAGGUCACCUCAAGAAUAAACUAAAGUCACUUCCACUUACCAGAAGGACUACAAACAGAUCUUAGCAUAGAAUGAAUUUCAACCUCUUUAGUAGUUUAAAGGCCCUUUUUUGUACCUAAAGAAAUAAAACAAAGGGUGGCUCCAAUACUCUAAUUCCUGACAGGGUGCCAGGGAGGAUGGACCCCCAGGACACUUCCUGCUGGAGGAGCCUCACCAUAGAGGGCAGAUGUAGAUGUAGCACCAGAGUCCUACUCGGAGUCAUGAGUCCACAAAGGUGUGACCUCUCUGCAUCUUACUCUCCCCCUUUCGACAUGGGGGAAAGAGUAGGUCCUACUUCAGAAUUGUUAAGAGCGACAACUUGGACUUCGUGAGCAAUACAAUGCGCCUGCGCAGUACUGCCACAACCGGGGAGCUAGCUACUGCUGAGACUGUAAGGGGAGGAGGAAGGGCUCUUCGGUGACCAGGAAGGAACUCUGAGGGAAAGGGUGAGUCUGUUCCCAAGCCACCCUGUGGCCUGGAGACAGAAAGAGUCAUUAGUUGUUGGAACGUUUGAAAGAAAGAAUGCCAGCCAGAAGUCCGAUGGACAGAUAGGGACUGGAGAAGGAAGGGUCAAUGCCUACAGGUCUGCGCAUGUCAGAGGCAACCUCUGUGGGGCACAGGUCAAACAGGCUGGUGGGACAGAGGGAAAAUACCUGAAGAGCAGGACUAAGUAGAAAUCCGUUUAGGACUCUGCUCUGUCGUUUACCCUCGGCUACCCAGACACGGGGUGGUAACAGCCAACAGUGGCCUCAACCCCACCUCAGACACUCUGAGAGACACUGGACAUGCUUUCCAAGAACAAACUAGUCUUUCAAUAUGAGCGGAUUUUAUGUAAUGGUGUAAUGCUCAAAGUCCGCCUCAGCACCACCUAGGACGCUCGGGAGGGCUUAUUGAGACGUGGGGGAGAUGGGCCUAACCUGAGCUUGUUGAUACAAACGGGUCCAGACCAGUGAUUCUUAAUGCUGAAUUGACAACACAUCAUAUUUAGUUAGACACAGCCACAUGAAAACUGAGAACUCGAAAAUAAAAUAGAAAAGAUACCCAAGUUUCCAGUGAGAAGAAGUAAAAUGAGAGUCUCUCAGAAGGUUCUAGAAGUUAAUGACACCAGGCCUUUGGGGGUGUAAAAGAUAAUAUGAGUGUGAAAUUCUGUGAAUGAGUGAGUUACAUUUUUAGGACAGAGCACCCAGGUAAUCUCAGAAGUCAGCAAGCUGGUACAGGUGAGUCGUAAUCUUGAGGGCAUAGGCUACCUGGCUUGAAUAAGGACACUCUGCUUCAAAAGUAAGCAAAAGAGGAAAUGGGGUGUCAGAAAUAGCAAAUGAAGGUAUUCUACAGCUUUUUCUUAUAGAGUUUCCCAAGGGAGUACACCAGCAAAGCAAGGAGAUAAAUUAAGACCCACACUGAAGCCAAGGACCAAUGGAUGCAACCCAAUAGUUAAUGACAGGUGAUCCAUUGUCCCCAAUGGAUAAGGCCUCCAGAGCAGUGGGACAAGCUUUGAUCAUGAGUCCUAGAGGCUCUGAGAUGGAUGCUUCCAGGCAGGGAGAUGCAGUGCAGUAGAACACCAGAUCAGUCAGCUCCAGUCUAGAACACAGAAACUUCUCAAAGCAUUUGAAGGAUUUGAUAUUGGACAACUACACUAAAUGCUAAAACCAUCUCUGGUUUCUAGUCCAGCACACAAGGAUUGUGGAAGACAUCACUCUUGUCACUGUAAGACAAUUACUGGACAAUGUGAGAACCAAUACUGCUUCUUAGAGCUAUUGGAGAAUUAAAGUUGCAAGGCUAAGUGCUGGCUUCAAAACUGGAAAGACAGACAGGUGAUGUGGCGGCCUGAAUGAGAAGGGCCCACGUAAGCUCAUAUAUUUGAAUACUUGGUCCCCAGUUGGUAGAACUGUUUGAGAAGGAUUAGGAGGUGUGGCCUAGUUGGAGGAGGUCUGUUACUGGGAGUGGACUUUGAGAUUUCAAAAGCUCACACCAUUUCCAAUAACUAACUCUCUCUCUCUCUCUCUCUCUGCCUUAUGCUUGUGGAACAAAUGUAAGUUCUACUGCCCCAGCACUAUCUCUGCCUGACAGCUAUCAUGCUUAGCUCCAUGAUGGUCAUGGGCCUACCCUCUAAAACUGUAAGUCCAAAUAAACUCCUUCCUUCAUAAAUUGCCUUGGUCAUGGUGUCUCUUCACAGAAAGGUAACUAAGAAUGCUGGAUGCAGAGACUCAGCAAACAUCUAAGAGCAAACACCUCUACAGGAGCCAUGUUUGGUACCUACAUACCUAGGCUUCCUGCUGCUCAGGAGGCUGAGGCAGGAGGGUCGCUUGAGCUCAGGAGUAGGAGACCUUCCUGGGCAACAUAGUGAGAGUCUAUUUAAAACAAAACAAAUGAACAAAGUUCCCAGUGUGAUUCAGAGGGGCUGAGAGUAGGAAACCAUAACCACAGAUGACAAAUUGCUGGAGGCUCCGUGUGGAUGUUUGAAGAAACCAGGGGGCCAGUAUGAAGGGUACCUCGCACUUGUGUGGACUUUGACUUCAAGAUCUCCAUAGUGAGGAUGAAAAAAACCCAUCUGGAUCCUCUGGCAAGCAAACUGGAAUGCAUUCAUUUCCAAACUCACACAGAGCAUUCUGUUCUUAUCGAGGCCUGCUCUCAAAAGAAUCAACAUGGCUUUGACUGGCCAGAGUUUUUCCAAGAACCCAGUGGCCUGCGAGAUGGAAACGCCCAGCUCCAUCCCCCUGUAGCCUUCCUGUUUGUCCUAUUUGGAGAAAUGAAGGAUUUGUAAAAGCGCACUGGCUCACUGAAGGUCAACACCCAACCGUAGGACUGUAGGAUGCUUCCAUGCUCCCACGGGCUCUUGUGUAUCCACAGGCUUAUACCUGAAGGGACUGCUUGAUUCAGGCUUUCUAUUUAAAAAAGAAAUAGAAUCAAGGACACUAGAGAAAGCUGAAGUCCCCGAUCCCUCCUGUUACAGCGAGCUGUAAAUGCUCAGCCAAUCCUCACUCCCACCCCCGGAAACUGAAAUUGUUGUAUUACUUUUUGUAUUAGCUGGUAUAUAAAAGGUGAUUAGAACAUUUAAGGGAGAAAAAAAAAAAACCAAAAAGUUAUAAAACAUAUGACCACAUCUGGUGUGGUGGCACAUGCCUGCAAUCCCAGUAUUAGGGAGACUGAAUCAAGAAGGUUGGGAGUUCAAAUCCAGCUGCAGCUACGUAGUAAGUCUGAGCCAGUCUCUGCUGCAGGAGAUCCUGGAUGAUGGCGCUGAGGUUAAGAGUACUUACGCUGCCUACAAGAUGUGCAGGAGUAAAGAUGGAGCAGAAACUGAGAGAAAGGCUAAGCAAUGAUUAGCCCAGCUUGAGAGCCAUGACUCGAGAGAGAACCUGCCCAUGACACAGCUAAUGGCAUUCUCCUAUACUUGCAGACAAGAGCCUAGCAUAACUGUCAUCUGAGAGGCUUCACGCAACAACUGAUGGAAACAGAUGUAGAGACCCAAAGCUAAAUAUUAGGCAGAGCUUGGGGGGAAUCCUGUGGAGGAUGGGGAGGAAGGAUUAAAAGAGCCAGAGAGGUCAAGAACACCACAAGAAAACCUACAGAAUCAACUAACCUGGGCCCAUAGGGGCUCACAGAGUCAGAACCGCCAGAGACAGACUUAAGGUCACUGCACAUACAUAACAGUUGUGCAUUUGAGUCUUCAUGUGGGACUAACAGCAGGAGCAGGGGCUGUCUGACUUGGUUGCCUGCCUUUGGAUCCCUCUAACUGGACUACCUCGCCCAGCCACACUAGAAGAGGCACCUAGCCCCACUGCAGCUUGAUCAGCCAAGGCAGAUACCCAUGGGAGGCCUGCCCUUUGCCAAAGACAAAGGGAAGACAGAAGGAUGGUGGGGUGGGGCGGGAGAGGGAGAGACUGGGAGGAGAGGAGGGAGGGGAAGCUACUAUUGGAAUGAAAAGCAAAUUAAUUAUGUAAUCAAUUAAUUUCAAAAGAGAAAGAAAGGGGGAAAAAAGAGUACUUGCUGCUCUCUAGAAACUAUAACCCAGUUCCCAGCACCCACAUUGUGGGGUUCACAACUGCCUGGUUUUGAGCAAGAGGAAGGUGUGUUAGAGAGAGAAUCCAUUUGAUUUUGACCUUAAGGACAUUCUAUCUUUUGUGGCCCAGGAAAAGCCAAGAGUCCCUACUGACUGACAGUGCUGAUGACAUUUGUACAUGUGCCAUUGUCAUUCCUUCCUUCCUACCACAGAGACAAACGUUAAGAAAGAUAGGAAAUGGGGCUGGGGAUUUAGCUCAGUGGUAGAGCGCUUACCUAGGAAGCACAAGGCCCUGGGUUUGGUCCCCAGCUCCGAAAAAAAGAACCAAAAGAAAGAAAGAAAGAUAGGAAAUCCAACUGCAGGCCACUGUAAAGUUCCUAGAAAAACACCAUACAUGUGUUAAGGAUUCUACAAGGCUAUUGACUGACUGGAACUUUGUAAUGGUGAGAAGUUGGGAUGCUGCUCAUCUCGAGCCAAGUGAUUCUAAGUCAUUUUUAAUCCCUUUGUGAGCCAUUCACUGCCCAAGUCUGUAUCUGUCCUUACAUCCUCGGUUGGGGUAAACUUUUCAAAACUCUAGUAGCUGGGCAGGUGACCAGCUUCUGCCACCCUCAAAGCUAAGAAUGCCAUCUGCAGCAUCUGACGUCUGCUGCAGAAAUGUCCUCUCUCUGCUGCUCUUCCUGCUGACUAUUUCUACCCGUUUGUUUUUAAGCCUUGAUUUACAACCGUCUUAAUUACUUGUGUAAUUGUAAACACUCACAAAAUUGAUUCCGCAUUAGAAUGUGUUAUUUGACACAAAGCUGAAUUCUUGUUCCUGGACUAUCGUCAUUCACACUCGGCUUAAGAAUAGACCCUUAUGCCCUCUGAGGUGGCAUCUGUCUUUUACAGCAAACAGAAUAGUAUCCUUGUAUUGAUGACAUAGCCAAGACGAGGGUACAUCAGAGACAGAAAUGAAGGAAGGGGAUGGCUCCAGUGGGUGAAGGCACAAGAGUGGGAUUCUCAGUUUGAAUAGUAUAGGAUCCAUAGGUGUUACUCAAAGGCAACCAAUGAAGAAGUGUGAUAUAAAUGAAUGAGUCCAGGGGUUGGGGAUUUAGCUCAGCGGUAGAGCGCUUGCCUAGCAAGCGCAAGACCCUGGGUUCGGUCCCCAGUUCCGAAAAAAAGAAAGAAAAAAAUGAAUGAGUCCAUUAGUUUAAUUAUUCAUUAGUUAAUAAGUUAUGGUGAUGAAUGGUGUGUGUACACGCAUGCGUGCGUGUGCAUGCUAAACCUCUAAACCGCAGGCUUUGGACAUGCCAGGCAAACCCUCUUCUAAUCAAGCUACGUCUCCAGACAGAAAGUUAUUUUUAAGAAUAGAAACAAGACUAGAAUGGCAGGACUGUGCCCCAGAGGGCAUUUCCCUUAGGAUAUAGAGAAGUCAGCACCCCAUGGCUAAUUCAGGGCUUCGUGCCCUGAUGAGAUUUGGUCCUUUGCCAAAGGUUUCUGGAAGAACACUCAUAUGUACUUGCAUUUCUCUCAGCUGUAAGUCAUUGCUAGGCAUUUUCUGGACCUGUUUUACAGUAAUCACAACCACGGGAUUCAUGGCUUCACCUACUGUAUAGCUUUUGGUCUGUGUAGCCACGUUUACGUUUUCUGUCAAGGGCACUUUGGUCUUCUCUUGCCUGUUCAGUGAGUGUGGGAAAGUGAACUUGGCUUUAGAUUCAGACGUCCCGACCGGCUGGUGGGGCUGGCCUCAGCCUCAUGGCUGUUCUCUGAAGGGCUGUAGUCAGGUCUGCUAGAAUACAGGCUGUAACCAGUCGGCUACGUAGGUAAGGGACUUGGGGCAUCAUAUUCAUGGCUUUUCUUCUAGUAGCUACCAAACACACUUAAAAAAAAACAACAGGAAAGAGAGGUUUUGUUUGGGGUCACAGUUUGAGGUGAUACGGUUCCCUGUGGCAGGGGAAGGCAUGUGGAGGGAACAUGGAAACAGAUGGUCACGUCCCAUAGUCAGGUAGCGGAAAGAUGAGCUGGUGUUCAGACUGCUUCCUACUUCCGUUUCACUCUGUCAUCCCUAUCCUACCCCAGUCCGUGGAGGAUCCUCCCACAUUCAGAGCAGAUCUUUACCUAAGCUAAUCCUCAGCAAUCCUUCCGAAAUGCUCUCAUGGGAGCACCCAGAAGUGUGUCUCCUGGGUAAUUUCAACCCCAGCCAAGCAGACAAUGGAGAUCAAGCAGGACCCAUGUAGCCAAUCCGUAGGUCUGACCACACCCUCCAGCAGGGCAGUGAACCCCAGUUCAUCAUUUCAGCACACCCAUCCCUAUUGGCCAGGAGACCUUAAGUAAGCUUCUCUCCCCUCUCCCUUAUCCACUUUCCUAUCUGACCACUACCCUACAUCUAGUAGGCAGUAGCCCCUUCUGCACCCAUUACCAAGAGUCUCACUAAGACCCGGCCACCCCUAGGGCUGCUCGGUCACUGCGCAUGCUCACAGUUUACCCCUUCUGGGACGGUAGCGGCUCAUUUCGUGCUUUGUCCUGACUCCACUUUCCCAGAUUUUUGGGCACCUGUUUUCUUCUCUUGUUCCCAACCUAGCUCACCUCCUGGCAUUUCCAGAACACAUUUGCUAUUGACUUUCCCUGCCUAGUCUCAACACAUGACCUUGUUCCAACUCCAAAUCCUCACUCGGUCCUCUGACUCUAGCCACCCACCACUGUUUCUGUAUAGACCAGCAGGUGACCCACUGCAGUACGCUGUAGCCAAUAGGAGAAAUGGGACAUCAAGGCCAUGGCUUGUUAGAGAUUUUGCUUCUGCGUGUGUGGUAGUCCAUCUUUGAAGGAGGUCAGGGAUAAAGUCUAGGCAGGAACUUAAGCAGAACCCAUGGAAGAAUGCUGCUUGAUGUGCCAGACGUCGCCACCCACCAACACCCCACCCCCUACCUGCCGCUCCCCGACACACCCUGUGGGCUGAGCCUGGCCACCUCAGUCGUUAAUUAAGAAAAUGUCCUAUAGACAGCCUGGAUGGAGACAUUUUUCUUAACUGAGAUUGCUCUUCCGGGAUAACUCUAGCUUGUGUCAAGUUGACAGAAGAAAAAGAAAAAAAGACCCUACUCAGGUCAGCAUGUUAUAUUAAUAAGCUGUUUGCUCUCCUAGAAACUCAGUUUUGUUUCCGUACUGUAGAUUAGGCUGCUGAGGCCUGGAGAUGUCCAGUAACUUGCCAAGGAUCAGCCAACCAGAGUUCUGAAUGCAAACCCCAGAGUCCAGGGUCUUCGCUGCUACAGCCCCUCCCUAAGAGUUGCUGAGCACCUGGGCCUGAAGAGAAACCUGAAUUCCUCUGGCUUGAUCUCCUUCCUGAUACCUGGUAAAAGGAGGCCAUCUAUGUAUGGGAAGGCCUGGGUUGUUAAGUGGUGGUUAUCUACGUCAGUUUCCUAUGACAAAGGACAGCAUGCCGUUGGCUAAAAAUGACAGAAACUCAUUGUCUCUGAGUCAUUGAAGGUCAGAUCCAAAGUCAGGGUGUUGUUCCCUCCAGACCUCCAGGGAGGAAUUUGUCUGGGGAGGGUGGUGUGUGUGUGUGUGGGGGGGGGUUGUUCGGGAUUGUUUUGGUUUUUUAUCUUUUAGGGUAGCCUCAGUUAUUCUUUGGCUCUCAGCCACAAGCUCCCAUCUGUUUGUCUAGGGGCUCAGGCCUUUUCUUCCUCUUUUUAUGGAGGCAACACCCAGAUUCCAGCUAGAUUCCAGCUGCCUCAGUUCACUGUGGGCCUCAUCUUGGUCCAAGUGCACCUGAAAAUUCUGAAUUUCCAAAUACAACCUCACUCACAAGUACUGAGGCCCAGGGCUUCUGCACAUCUUUCCAGGAUCUACACCUACACAGUUCUCCAUACGUCUACGGAGUUCCUCUUGUGGAACAUUGCCCAUGUGUGUUGCUCUCUGUAUGUGGAAACCAAUCAUAAGACUGUGUAUCGAGGCAACUUUCAGGACAGAGACUACUUUCUGUAUUCCAAAACCUAGAAGGUCUUCAAAAGAACUUAUAUAUGUCUUUGACUUAAACUUAUUAUGUCAUCUCCAUAUCCAAUUAUGGAGUCAGAGAAGGAGAGAUGGUUCAGCGGUUAAGAGCACUUGCUGUUUGUUCGAAGACCUAAGUUCGAUUCCCAGCAUCCACAUGAUGGUUCACAACCAUCUGUAACUUCAGUUCUCUACACUCUCUCUCACCUCCAGAGGCACUGGGAAUGUAUGUGGUUUACAGGGAUAUAUGCAGAAAAAAUGCUCAUACCUGUAAAAAUAAAAUAAUUCUAAAAAAAUCAAAAACAUAUUAUUUUCACCCCAGUGAUAUUUAUAAUCUUUGUUUUUAACCCAUUAAAAUUAAUUUAAAGACAGAGAUAAGCAUUUUAGACAGAUAGUCAUAACUUUCUUUCAAGAUUUUAUUUUCCCCUGUGAAACAAACUAAUCUUAUUCCGCAAGUGAAGGGGACACUUAAGGGCUCUUUGGAAAGUCAGUUGGGUUGGACGGCCUUUUGCUAGGGCAAAGACGUGGAGUGUUUUCUCGAGGUGGACACAAGAGAAAGGCCGUUUUGCUGAGGCAGACUCGUGAGGGAAUGUGUCGCUGAAGCAGACACAGGUGAAAGGAUGCUCUGCUAAAGCAAACUCGUGAAAGGACUCGAUAAAGAAUGCUUUGCUAAUGGCACUCGUGCGUUGCUCUGCCUUACAUUGCUCAGUUGAGCUCCUUUUACUGGGACUCCAUAGAGAGAAAUGCACCAAAAAGCUUCUGGCAGUGUGCGACAGCCUCUUACAGCUUCUGCGAACUCACACUGAUGGGCAGAGUGAAGUCAGCUGACAUAGGCUCAUGCGCUGAGGCAAGACCCACGGAAGACACACGAUGUUUGGAGGGCAUAUAAAUAGAACUCAACUAACAGACUGUGAGAGGGGCUUGGUUUACUGCAUAGCUAACCGCUUCUUGGUCUCAAGUCUUCCCUGAUCUUUGCUUUGUUGAGAGAGACACAGCCAAGAACUGUUCCUGGCAUCCCUGCUGGUCUGUAGCCCUCCUGCUGCUGACUCAUGCUGACUCAUGCCUGUUCUGCUGAGGCCUGGCCUUCCCUGCUAGGUCACACCACCACUGCUGCUCUCAACACUACCAAACUGGACUGCUGGUAUAUCCGUGAAGUGUUUGGCCUUGGUGGUACUCCUGGAGGUGCCCCUCCCACAUUCAUCCCUGUGAGCAGCUCAUACCUCUCUCUCCUUUCUUCCCUUGUCACAUCCCUGGGAAGGCUGACAGAGUCUCUGGGUGAAGGGAAUGUCUACAUUAGCGUUUGCUCUUCUGAACAAAGAGAGCACAGAAAGACGGUUCUCUCUCGUCCACUUUGCUGUCUUCCGGAGGUCCUUACACUAUGGCCUGGUGGGCUCCCUGGCAGCUGUGUCCUUGCCUCUCUCUCCCCACCCCUUUGGAAACCUGGCUCUGUGAGCUGCCUAUUUAUUUACUUCUCUGGAAUUUCCGUCGCGAUGGUUCAGUGGGGCGGUUGCCGGGGGCCUGGGGCUGUUGGGCGUAUCAUCGGUACAAUAAUGUGUAUGUGUGUCCCCAGCUUUGCAAAAUUUAUAUGAAGGGAAUUAAAUCCAAACUAACUGCCGAGAUCAUCGUCCUUACCCUUGGCUUUUCCAGGGCCCUUGGGCAGAACCCUAGCCUGGGCAUAUUCCAAGAAGGAUAAAUUUAAUAUUAAUGAUAAUAAUACUUUGCACUUGGUCUAGUGAAAAUAUUUUGAAUGCAGCAAAGGCUGGGAAGCGAAUGUUUGCUUGGUGCGGUGGGUCAGGAAGCGCCUCUGCUUGUUUAUUAUGGUAGGGCUUUGUGUACAGAAACUAUUUUUCUCCUUUCUCACCGCCCGGGGCCAUAUUUCUUGUUGCUCGCUACAUCCAGAGUUUUACAGGAAGCCGCCACUCAUAUUUAAAUGGCAUGUUUUUAAAACAUGUCUGUAAAUAGCUGAAGACAGAUCGGCCGUAGGUGUGGCGUCGUCUCCUAUCCUCUCUGUCGGGAUUCUUUGUUCCACUCGAAAUCACAUCUCCGUCCCUGCGAGAUGGGGGAACUUUAAACUCAGCAUAGCCAGGAAGUUGGGAGACCCACGCUGUGAAUCGGUGGUGGCUGGAAGAUUCCCAGAGGAAGAGGGAGGAGUCUCUUCUCAACUGGAGGUUGAAGCAGUAGCCAGAGAUGUCAUACAAAUGCACAAAGAGCUUUCUUCGAGAUCCUCUGCUUCCUCCAGAGCCUGCCUCCCUGAAGUGAUUCUAUGGCAACAACAAAACAGCCUCGCCAGGAUGGAGGUGAGCUGCACACCUCCAUCUCCCAGCAGCAGGCCCCUUGGCUGCAUGCUUUGCCGUCCGUCUCCAGCCCUGACAGUGGCAUGAUGUAUUAUUCAGGCUAGAAUCACCCAAGGGGCACCCUCUCCAGAUCUAACUCACUCUAAUUCUGGAUGCUGCUCCACCUUGGGCCCCUGCUGCAUUUGAAGGCACAGAUCUUGCUCCAGCAAAUUUGGCUAAGACUCAUCCAGGGUGACUGACAUAUUGCACCUGUAAACCAGAGAACUUUAAGUGUGUGCGCCCAGGAACAUGGCAGUGAACCUGCUUAGAUGGUCUUUAGGAGGAAAGCUAGUUAUGUGUAUAGUCUACAGAAGCUUAACCCCUUGUUAAAAAAAGAGUAGGGGAGUACAGUUUAAGAUGGUGUAUUUUUCACACCUCUCCUAUAGUUUGGAUCUGGACUAUCCCUUGGGGGCCUGUGUGUAAAGUCUUGGUUUCCAUAUUGAUGUUAUCAGGAGGCAGUGGGAGCUUUAGGAAAUGAAGCCUGUUCAGUUUGUAUAAUGUUACCUGCAUGUAUGUUACCUGCAUGUAUGUUAAGCAAUUGGUGUGCUCUUCUCUGGAGACGACUGUUUUUCCCACUCCCAGCAUUCCUUAAUUGCUUGAAGGUUAUAAUAUAUGUAACAUAUUAUAAUAUAUAUCAUUUUAUAUUGCGCCAUUAUUAUAUACUUAUAUAUUAUAUAUUUGUGUUAUUAUGUUAUAUAAUAAUAAAUUAAUUACAUAUAUUAUAUAUAUUAACAAUCAAUUACAAAGACAGGUAUAUAGGAGGACUUGGAAGACAGAAAGGGAAAGGGAAAAUAAUAUAUCUCAGAAAAUAAAAAAUAAAAAUUUUAAACUAUAUAAAUGAGGGGAGUGAUGCCUAAUAUGGAGUCUUUUGUCGCUGGGCGAUGCGUUGGACCCUCCUGUGAGACCUCAGCCUCCUCCUCCUUUCUUUGCUCCAUUGGCCACUACAAGCCCAGAGCUGCAAUGCCAACCAAGAUCUCCAAGACUGCGAGCCAACAUACACUUUUCCUCUUUGCAAACUGGCUUCAUAAGGUGACAGAAAACUGAUGGAUACUUUCUAAGUCUCAGUAAGAAUGAAGAAAAUGGUGAGCAGGGCCAAGCACCUGCCUAGCAUGCGUGGGGUUCCAAGUUCAAGCCCUGGCACAGCAAGAAAAUCGAAGCACAGUCUCUGAUCUGCCUUGCAGCAAUGAGACCCUCACUUCAAGGCCUUGCCCUGUAGCCUUAAGAGAAGAACAAUGAAGGAUCCACCAUGGCCCAGCAUGGACGUUGUUCAGUCACAUUUUCACUGAUGUUCAUGGUUUCUUCAUACCCAUGUAAUGAGACCUUCAUAAAGUCAAAUGGGGCAGUGUAUAGAGACCAUCUAGGGGUUCCUGAUGGGGUUCUCAAAGAGAGCGUGAGAGUGCAGCAACCCUUCUCCCAGACCUUAACUGCUUUAUCUGUAUCCUUUAAAAUAAAAGUUGUAGUUCUCGGUUGUGUGAA